rnacentral:misc_RNA from 1 species
CCCGAAGAGAACGAGGAAGGAAGCAGCUAUGAGUUCUACUAUGAUGACGGCACUGGGUCGGGUCUUAGACCAGUGCCGGCCAAUAUGUCCGAGUUUUUGAUGGGAUCUGGGUUUGACCGCUUGCUAGACCAGUUAGCACAGAUUGAAGUGAAUGGUUUCGGGCGGGUAGGAAACCCGCCGGCGUCAAAAGCAGUGGUGGAGUCGAUGCCCACGGUUGAAAUAAACGAAACCCACGUAUUAGCGGAGGCACACUGCGCCGUCUGUAAGGAGGCGUUCGAGCUCGGCGGCAAAGCACGCGAGAUGCCCUGUACGCAUAUUUACCACUCGGAUUGCAUACUUCCUUGGCUCGCAAUUAGGAAUUCGUGUCCCGUUUGCCGCCAUGAGUUACCGGCGGAUCAGCAAGAAAGCGAGAAUUCGGGGGAAUCGGAGGAAAUUGUUGGGUUGACCAUAUGGAGGCUGCCAGGAGGUGGAUUUGC